GACGAACGCUGGCGGCGUGGAUUAGGCAUGCAAGUCGGACGGUAGGGCUUUAUCGUAAGAUAGAGUUUGAGAGUGGCGAACGGGUGAGUAACACGUAGGAAUCUACCCUUAAGACGGGGACAACCCAGGGAAACUUGGGCUAAUACCGGAUGAGAGUGCGAGAGAUUGCAUUUAAAAGGAUGGCGAAAGUUGUCGCUUAGGGAUGAGCCUGCGGUCUAUUAGUUAGUUGGUGAGGUAAGAGCUCACCAAGGCGAUGAUAGAUAGGCGGCCUUAACGGGUGGUCGCCCACACUGGGAUUGAGAUACGGCCCAGACUUCUACGGGAGGCAGCAGUCGAGAAUAGUCUACAAUGGUCGGAAGACUGAUAGUGCGACGCCGCGUGAACGAUGAAUCCCUUCGGGGUGUAAAGUUCUUUUAUAUGUGAGCAGUGCUUCUUAUAUUAACAGUAUGGGGAAGAGAUAUUAGCAUAUGAAUAAGCAACGGCUAACUCCGUGCC
rnacentral:rRNA from 1 species